rnacentral:lncRNA from 1 species
UUCCUUUGGUGUCACUUGAGCAUCAGCUUGGGCUUCAGGCCCAUCGUUCUUAUUACCUGCACCGCCAAUUCCCUGUUUGAACCUCCCCAUUCUGAACCAAGCACAACAUGUCGGGCUUAUGCUAAAGCCCAUCCAUAAGUGCUUCUUGCACCAUGCAAUCGACAUACAUCGCUGCAUUUCUUUUUAUUCCUCUAAUCUUUUCUUUUUGUUUUUUUAGUUAUUAGUUUUCAAAUACAUUUUUAAUACUUUGUUAAUUAAUCAAAUACAUUUGAUACUUUGUUAAAUAUGUAAUUACAUUUUGGAGCUUAAAUACUUUUUAGAUUGUAAGUGUCUUUGUUACCAUUUAAUCAACAUUUUGAAAAAGAUUAGUAUAGUAAUGACCCUUAGCUUUAAUUGCAUGACAUUUAGAUUUUGUUAGAAAAAU